rnacentral:misc_RNA from 1 species
GUGAUUUUUCUCUUCCUGGAGCUUAUUUGCGGUCAAAAGGAUUGAAUCGAAUUGGAAACUUGUUGGUGCCUAAUGACAAUUAUUGCAAAUUUGAGAAUUGGAUCAAUCCAAUUUUUGACAAGAUGCUAGAAGAACAGGCUACAGAGAACAUCAUUUGGGCGCCGUCAAAGGUAAUUGCCCGCCUGGGAAAAGAAAUAAAUGAUGGAAGUUCUUACUUAU